GUAAUUUUUUUGGGCAGCAAUGAUUGGGAUAAUCAACUGGUUUGGAUAACUGAUGCUCUACUAUCUAUAUAUUUGCUCAGGCAUGUGGUCAUAGGUGGCCAACAACAAUCAAAUUAUUUAAACUGUCAAAAAUGUGGGAUGGCUGGACAGAUUUAUACAGGAUUAGGAUAAGGAUGGGAAACGACAGAUAAUGCCGUUACAAAUAACACACAGACCACAAUUUAAUAACUUUAAAAUUAAUUGAGAGUUUUUUAUUUAGUACAUGUAGAAAAAUUGUGGGAAGACAAAUACUCUAUUAUACUAUAAUCAUCAGCUAUAGUAUAUAUCUUCCCACAUUUUUCUUAAGAAAUGGAAAUUUCCAACACCGAUCAAGAGGUUUCUUCUUUGAGUUGCUAUAUCUUGGUUCUGGAAAACACCAACCGUCCUUUUCUCGGGCACAUUUCUCCACAUCCAUCUUUUUCAUUUCUUUGGCUGUCAGCCACUUUUUCCUGGUGUUCUCUCUUAGUCCACAGAUCAUCCACGCAUUUUUCACCCCGGAAAAGAGAGAGGUCGGGUUUAUUUUACACAAGAAGCAAUCACAUUUCCCGAGUACGGGACGUUUCCCAGUUUGUUUACCCUCGAUGUUAUGUUCUGCUUCUCGAGACAGGAUAUUCUGCCAAAAUUCGCAGCCUAUAGAUGGACUAUCUGUACGGCAAAGCUGCUGUGGCGACUUGUGCCGACAGAAAACUACGUGGUUACAUGCCAUCACGCGACCCUUCGUGUGCUCGAUCGCCGCUUUAAUUCGAUCGUCGAGAAGUACUCGUACGAGAGAAUCUUUGCCAUCAGAAGGAUGGGGAAGGAGCGGCUGCUCGUCCUCUUCAGAGAGAAUCGAGCCGUGCAGAUGACGUACGAACUCGAGGCGGUCGCACUGCGCUUCGUUAAGGGCACUGCCACGGAUGUACAGUCUAUUGCAAAAAGUUUUGUGCAUGAAGGGAAAAGGUUUGGCUUAUCCGCAAAACAAAAGAGCAA
rnacentral:lncRNA from 1 species